UUUUGAUCCGUGAAGCUGUGUAAGCAGC
rnacentral:piRNA from 1 species